GAAGACCUAUCCAAUGAAAUUUACCUCCUACUUGAAAUGAAAGACAAGAACCCUCAGGACCCGAAGAUGUAUGCUCAGCAGUAUGGGAAGUAUGUACUCAAAGUUCCUCUAAGUGUGUGAGAGGAUGAAGAGCAUAAACCACUGAAGAGCUAAGUUUCUCCCAGGAGACCCCGUCAGGCAACAGGCAUAUGGUUCAGACUCCUCCAUCUUAUGGCCUGUUCCCCCGCUGCAGACCUUCACUAAGCACUGGCUCUGCACCAGGAGUGUGCGGGGCCCUGGCAUGCAGGGGCCC
rnacentral:lncRNA from 1 species